UAGCUAGAUGGUGGGGUAAAGGCCUACCAUGGCGACGAUCUGUAGCUGGUCUGAGAGGAUGAUCAGCCACACCGGGACUGAGACACGGCCCGGACUCCUACGGGAGGCAGCAGUGGGGAAUAUUGGACAAUGGGGGAAACCCUGAUCCAGCCAUGCCGCGUGUGUGAAGAAGGCCUUUUGGUUGUAAAGCACUUUAAGCAGUGAAGAAGACUCCAUGGUUAAUACCCAUGGACGAUGACAUUAGCUGCAGAAUAAGCACCGGCUAACUCUGUGCCAGCAGCCGCGGUAAUACAGAGGGUGCAAGCGUUAAUCGGAAUUACUGGGCGUAAAGGGAGCGUAGGUGGCUCGAUAAGUCAGAUGUGAAAUCCCCGGGCUCAACCUGGGAACUGCAUCUGAUACUGUUGAGCUAGAGUAUGUGAGAGGAAGGUAGAAUUCCAGGUGUAGCGGUGAAAUGCGUAGAGAUCUGGAGGAAUACCGAUGGCGAAGGCAGCCUUCUGGCAUAAUACUGACACUGAGGCUCGAAAGCGUGGGUAGCAAACAGGAUUAGAUACCCUGGUAGUCCACGCCGUAAACGAUGUCUACUAGUCGUUGGGUCCCUUGAGGACUUAGUGACGCAGCUAACGCAAUAAGUAGACCGCCUGGGGAGUACGGCCGCAAGGUUAAAACUCAAAUGAAUUGACGGGGGCCCGCACAAGCGGUGGAGCAUGUGGUUUAAUU
rnacentral:rRNA from 1 species